CAGAGUUCAUGCCCUCCGGGUAGAUCUCCCACCCAGUGCUAUCACUACUCUCGUUGCUUUGGCGGGCCGCUGGGCCCUGCCCGGCCGCCGGCCCCGGCUGGCGCGUGCCCGCCAGAGACCUUCACAGACUCUGAAUGUUAGUGUCGUCCGAGUAACUAUACAAUCGUUA
rnacentral:misc_RNA from 2 species